CUGGACAAUAUUGCCAACACCAAACUCCUUCCUCAAUUGAAACAUAUGAUCAGCCCACAAAUGCUUUGCUUUGUAGCUUUUGAGAGCCUGAAAUUGUUAUCACAACCAACAAUGAAAAUUGGGUGAAAAAAUUGAUAAUAUUAGCUUAAUUCCAUAUGUUUAUAUAGGAUAAACCGAUCAAAGAAUGAAAAAAGAUAGAAACAGAGCAGACCCAGCCAUCACUUUCUUCUUCAAAGUCGCACCAUAACCACAGUGGUAGUCGUUCCACUGCCAGCCUAAUCCUUGGUCACCCCAAUGUUCUCCAUGAAGUAUUCAAAGUCAACCUAAAAAUAAAUAAAAAUGCAAUGCAGGUGGAAAUGAAAAUUCUAUAAAUUAAAUAAAAUAAAAAUGCAAUGCUUGAGCUUGAGCUUGCUUUAGCAUCAUCGUAAUAGUAAAUUUUGAUAUAUCUUUACUUCUCUGUUCUUGUUUAUUCACAACAAGAUAUCAAUAGAAGAAGAUGGAAAUGAAAUUCUAUAAAAUAAAGCAAGUGAAUUACCAACAGAACAUUUUAGCAAUCCUUUGGCUAAACUUUUCAUUUUCUUAGCAUACUCUCCUGCCUGGUGAACAUAAUUAAACAAGUAUGAAAUAAAACAAAGUGGGCUAAUGUAGUAAAAACAAUAACACAAUUACUUUAAAGAAUUAAUGUCACGUAUAUUAUAUAUAAAAAAAUACGAUUAUCAUUAUAUAAGAUAAAAUUGAUAAUUUAGUUUUCAACAUUACUGCAAACGUAUCACAGAGAUUUUGUUACACAUAACAAAUUUUCGUACAUAUGAAAAUAAAUUACAUUGCAUGAAAUUUUACAAAAGAGCACAUAUUUUUUAAAAGUAAAUAAAUAUAGAAAUUUCAACAGACUACACUUGUAUUUUUUUUUAAUUAUUUAAUCUUUAGAAAACAAGUUUAACAGAUUUGAUAACUAGGAAGUUUUACGUAUUUAUACCAUGAUUGAUUCUAUAUAGAAUUUUAAUUCAAAAUAUAAUUAUUUUUAUUAAUUUCAUUGCAAGCAACAACGAAGUAAAUUAGAGGAGGAGGAGAAAUUACCGGCGAGUGAUAAAUUACCGCGACCACUUGAUGUGGGGAAUGCGAGAUAUCUUAUGCCAGUCUUCUCCUUUCCCCUCUCUAUAACGGUUUUCCAGAAGAGGACAUCUGUCAAUAGUCAAUUCCUGCAGCGUCGUCGUCCGAAGAAGGUAAUCCGGCAGCACCUUUAAUUUGGGGCAAUACUCAAUUACCAAGGAAGAAAGACGUGGUAUGUCUGUUGUCCUGUGAUCUUCUAGAAUGGGCAGUUCUUCCAUAUUUGCACAAAAAGAAAUCCUCAGUUUCUGCAGUGCCGUCGUUCGAAGAAGGUAAUCCGGCAGCGCCUUCAAUUUGUUGCAAGAACGAACUUCCAAGGAAGAAAGACGGGGCAUGAUAGAGAUGUUUUCCUUCCUCGUAAUCCUGUAAUUCCACUCUUCCAAUUCUUCCAUGUCCCAAAUUAUGAGUGAUUUCAAUUUGGGGAAGGCAGUAACUGAUGAUGAUGAUGAAGAUGAAGACGGGCCAUCCUCACUGCUUUCUUCUAUUCCCAAAAACUCAUUACCCACUCUUUUUACACUUUUCAAGUACCAUAGUUCGAGUUUUUCCAGAGGCAAUUUUCCCAAAGGAGGCAAAUGCUCACACUUAAGGCACGAGCGAAGAUAUAAAUUCCUUAGAUUGGUCAGUGAAGUCAACCAUUUGGGAAAAAUGUUGCGUCCAUAUAAUAUAAUCCCUAAUUUCUCUACACUCAAAGGCGGUUGUAAGGCUUUAAGAAGUUGUUCAUCUUUCUCUUUCUUCCUCCUCCUUUCUUCAUCUUCCCCAUCUACGACUCUACCAAACUCAAGACGCAAACGAAGGAGGUUUUGCUGAUUGUAAAGUUGUAAUCUCUCGACCUCAUCUAAACGGGACACAUUACCCAGCCCUUCAAUUCCACAUUCUCGAAGGAGUUGAAGAUUUUUCAGAGAUUCAAGCCUACAAGUAUUGCUACCAUCAACACCUCCACCCACCACAAACUUGUCUAAUGUUCGAAGACUGGUUAAUUUGGAAAUCCCUACUGGCAUGUAUUUCAACGAAUAAGUUUCAGCAUUCAGUAAACUCCUCAUGUUCUUUAACUUCCCAAUCCCCGCUGGCAAUUCUUUAAGAUUUCGGCACCGCCUAAUAUCUAGCUUUUGUAAAUUAUAUAAUUCACACAAAGUCUUAGGUAGUCUCUCUAUGCCUAAUUCAGACAAAUUAAGAUAUCUUAAAUGUAUCAAUUUUCCGACAUUUUUUGGAAUUUCUCUAAUCAAACUUGAGUGAAGACGAACAGGCGAGGAUGAUAGCCUUAUAACUAAUGAUUCCCUUAUAACUAAUGCCCUCAAACAUGCCAAUUUACUAAAUAACUUUCGAGUUUCUCUAAUCUUAUAUGUGUUUGGACAAAAACAUAGGCGCAACAGCCUUAUAACUAAUGCCCUUAAACAUUCUUUGCUACUACUAAAAGACGAAAGGAUGCUACUAAGAGACAGAUUGAAAUCACUUCUAUCAUAAAUUAAAAGGGUACGCAAUCUAUCAAGUCCACGAAUGGAUAUAGGAAAUGAAGUGCCUCUUUGAAAAUUUAACCCUAAGUGACGGACUUUGUCACCAAAAGAGUUUAUGACUGAGUCUUUGGUACCAUUAAUUUCUACCCACAAACAUUCUUUUCUACUUACAAAUUGGGCAAAAUCAUGUAUUAUGUCAUGCAUCUUGCAGCUCAUAAUAUCAUCAUCAUCAUCUUUUUUAAACUCUUGAAAGAAAGAGCGUGCUGCUAAAAUGUUGAAAUACUCUUCCCCAAUCAUCUCCAUCUCUUCGUCUUCUUCUGUAUUAAGAUAACCUUGAGCCAUCCAUAGUGAAAUUAGUUCCUCUUUAUUCAUAUUGUAGUUUUUUGGAAAGACAGCACAAUAUGAGAAACAUUGUUUUACCAUAGAAUUGGAGGGCAAAUCGUUAUAACUCAACAACAAAGGAGCUAAAAGACCUUGCCCAAUUGCUUCUACUUUCCACAUUUCACUCUCUAAAAUUCUUUGCCACUCUUUUACUGUACUUUUAGAGCGCAAGAGAUUCCCUAUUACCUUUGCAGCAAGAGGCAGGCCUUUGCACUUAUGUGCAAUUUUGCGCCCGAUUGGUUCUAAUUUUUCACGAUCCUCAAAGGACCUACGUAGAAAUGCCAUCUGCUUAAACAGUAACCAACAUUCCCCUUCUCCCAACUCCUUGACAGGGAUAAUAUCUAUUGAUCCCAACUGUAGUGCAACUGACCUAUCACGUGUGGUAAUUAGAAUUUUACUUUCAUGGUGGCCAUUCUUUAGACAAGAAAAGAAUGGGUCCCAUUUUUUGUAAUCUACAUCCCACACAUCAUCUAAAACAAGAAAAAACUUUUUUCCUUCAAUUGAUGUAUGGAUAUGGCUCAUAAGAGAUUGGAAUUCGCUUAAAUCAUAAGCUUCUUUUGACUUGCCUAGACCUUCAAUGAUUGCUUUGGCAACCCUAAUCCUCUCAAAAGUGUCUGAUACACACACCCAUAUAACUUUUUCAAAAUUUCUUUUCACCUCAUCAUUAUUAUAGGCCAGUUGUGCAAGAGUGGUUUUACCUAUACCCCCUAACCCAACUAGUGAGAUGAUAUGAAGGCCUUCUUGUUGUUCACUACUUUGACACAACAACUUGCUUAAGAGCUCAUCUUUCUCAUUAACUCUACCGCAAACCUCUCCCUCAUCAAUCAAGGAGGUGGUUCGCACUCGCUCUGGUUUCUUGACAUUGUUACUCACAUUCUCAACAAAUUUAAACAUAUCUUUUCGAGUGGCAAUACCAUCUAGCUUUUCAUUGAUUUCCCUAAUCUUGACAGCAAUGUCAUGACGAAGACUGAGUUGUUUGAAACUGCCACAGCAGUUUGAUACAGCACAAAAGAAGGAACGUACCUUCUUCUUAUGAACGCCCUCAAUCUGCAAUUUGAGCCUUGCAGUGGUCCACUCCUCCAACACAUCUUCCAUGUCGUAAGAUGCGUCUUUGAGCUGAUCCAGCCAAAAAGUAACAUCUUUCUCGUGCUGCAUUUGCCUUUUCUCUGCAUCUUCCAGCACAAGUUGAAUGGCUUGUAGAUUGCUGGUGAGCUUUUUCACUUCUUCGUCGACACCAGUAACAAGCCUCACCUGUUGUUUCAGUUCAUCAGUUGCAACUGAGCUCAGCUGCUCCAGGAGAGAGGAAACGAUCGCAUCAACCAUUCUGACAAAGAAGAUGAGAAUUCUGAAGAGUUAUUAGAUGUGCUUUUGUUGCGAAGAUAUGAAAGAAAGGAGUUAUUGCAUUCUUUUAUACUGCAUAGAAAAGGUUUAUGCUUAUCCCCACCCCACACGUCAAUGAUUGUAGAAUGUUUAAUUUCCCUGAUUCUACUCCACUAGUUGUGAUGCGUAAUUAUAAAUAUUCUCAAGUUAUGUAUGAAAAUCCCACAAAUUUGGAUCUAGUAAUGAUUUUUAUGUAUUUUUUCAUAAUCUUCUAAAAUACUAUAUCUGCAUGUUAUUUCGUGCAGAAAUAUGGCAUUGGGUGAAAAAAGUUAUGCUUAUCCCCACCCACACGUUAGUAAUUGUAGUAGCAUCUGUAAUUUCCAUGAUUCUACUCCACGGACGAACACAUUUUUUGUACUAACAUCUUUAAAUUCCCACACGUUAGGAAUUUGGCACAUAAUCUCAAACUCGUCGCAUCUUUAACGUAUGAGGUUGAUGAAUAAAUUCUUUUCUCAUAUCAAUUUAAAACUCCGAGAUUAUGUGCCAAAUUCCUAACGUGUGGGAAUUUUACCUCCUAAGUAAUCCGGCCCACUGCCAAGUGCCAACUUUUUCUCUGUCGAGUUAAUGAUGUUGUUUUGUUUUCCUUGUUUUAAUUAAUGUUGCGGAGAGAAACAGAUCGAUGCAAAUGGCUAGCCAGGUUUUGCAGAAACCGUGAAUGGUCUUGCAUGCAUGUGACAUAAAGCUUUAUAUAUAGCUUAUUCCUCCAUCAACAUUUCAAUGGUUCCAUCUCACGUGCACUUGGCUAUGAAUAAGGUCCAUGCAUGGAUCGAUCGAUUUAGGAGUUUGGACCAUCUCAUGCUGCAGAGUUAUGUGUCAUGUAUGUGUGUUGACACUUGCCAGUUCAUUUUUGUUAUAAAGAUUAUUGAUACUCGUAAAUGUACUACUUACAAAUCAUAAAUUUUGAGUUUGACACUUUAGUUUCAUUUUGUAAUCCCUACGCUCUUUAAAUAUUUGUAAUAAUAUAUUUCAAACUUUAACUCAGACGUAAUGAAUGAAGGGGGAUCCUCUUCUUAUAUAAAUUUUUAUUUUUUAACGUUCAAGUUACAUUUGAUUACGUGUACUUAUUAUCUAGUUUUGACUAUCUAAUGACAUUUGAUUACGUGUACUUAUUAUAUGAUUUUUUUUUAAAUGAUGGGUCUGGUGAGAUUUUUUACAUCUUGGAUUAGUAGGUCAAGAACGGGCAGGGCAGGGCCUUCUCUGAAGUCAAUCUUGUGAGCAACACCAGCUUUUUGGAUAAUUGGCAGCCCCAAUUCAUAAUUUUCUCAGUUGAUGUCCAUGGCCAAAAUCUGCAACCGAAGCUUAUUCUACUCUUAUUAAUCGAGAGAUAAUUUUAUCUCUAACUAAUUUAAUUGGGAGGAAAAUUGAGAGAGAUAUCCACUCUGUCCUUAUUAAUUGAGAGAUAAUUUUACCCUUACCCAAUUUAAUUGGAAAGGAAAUCGAAUUCCAACAAUAACUAGGACUUGAAUCCAUGCACUUAAGCUAACUUUAAGUUUUAGGAUGCAUGGUUAUAAUGUUCUUUAUUUAAAUCCUAACAAAUGGUGGGACUUGAACUUGUGCCUACAAACAUUGAGUGCUUAGGGGCUGCAAAAUUUCAUAACUUAAUUUUAGUUGAUGUGGUAUGUGCCCUAUCACAUAAAUAUGUAGAUAAUAAUAAUUAAUACAUUAACAAAAUGAAAAAUAUUAGUUUACAAAAUACAAAUCCAAAUUUUUUGUGUGACAAGGGACUUAAAAGGGAGAGACUAAACAAAUGUGGUGAAAACGACAUGUAUUACUAAAACUAAAAAUACGAAGUCUAGGCAAUUGAAAACAUCGGGUUUUUUAUUUAAAUAUCCCCAAUUUGUCCUUAAAUACCAAAUUUAUACCCUAUUAUAUACAUAUACCUCACGAAGAUAGGGAAAAUAAAAAAUAACCUUAAAAAAAUCAAGAAUCCACACAUUUCUUCCUCUCAGUGCAGGAAGAUGUCGAGUACGAAGUCGGGUAAGUCGAGAAUUUAGUCGAGCAAGAAUUGGAGAUAAGUAAGUUGAGUAUAUGGUCCAGUAGGAAGUUGAGUAAGCAUAUUAAAUGAGUCCAGUAUUAAGUGGUAGAGUAUUAAGUAAAAGUCAAGUAAAUUUUUUAAACAAGUCAAAUAAAAUUUAUGUAAUUUUUAAAGAGGUUGAGUAUUAAGUCGGGUUAGUACAUUGGGUCGAGUGUUAAUAUUUUUAAAGAAGUGAAGUCUGGUAAGUUGAGCAUUCAGUCGAGUAAGAAGUUAAGGCAAUUGAAUAAGUCGAGUCUCUAGUCGAGUACGAAGUCGGGUAUAAAGUCUGGUAAGUUGAGCAUUCAGUCGAGUAAGAAGUGAAGGCAAUUGAAUAAGUCGAGUGUCUAGUCGAGUACGAAGUUGGGUAUGAAAUCUGGUAAGUUGAGCAUUCAGUCGAGUGAGAAGUGAAGGCAAUUGAAUAAGUCAAGUAUCUAGUCGAGUACGAAGUCGGGUAUGAAGUAUGGUAAGUUGAGCAUUCAGUUGAGUAAGAAGUGAAGGCAAUUGAAUAAGUCGAGUACGAAGUCGGGUAUGAAAUAUGGUAAGUUGAGCAUUCAGUCGAGUGAGAAGUUAAGGCAAUUGAAUAAGUCGAGUAUCUAGUUGAGUACGAAGUCGGGUAUGAAGUUUGGUAAGUUAAGCAUUUAAUCGAGUAAGAAGUGAAGGUAAUUGAAUAAGUCGAGUAUCUAGUUGAUUACGAAGUCGGAUCUGAAGUCUAGUAAGUUGAACAUUCAGUUGAGUAAGAAGUGAAAACAAUUGAAUAAGUCGAAUAUCUAGUCGAGUAAAAAAGUCGAGUAAGUAGAUUGAAUGAGUAGGGUAUUAAUUUUUUGUUGGCAUUUUAUUGAGGCUAUUUUUGUACUUUCUUUGGUUUUUUAAGUAUGUAUAUGCAAAGUACAGAUUUUAAUAGAUGGAUGUAUAUUUUGGGUAUUACGAGAGAAACGGGGUAUAUCCCACGCAAUUCCUUCGAAAACAUCUCUGUCAAUUGCAAUGAACAGAUCACAACCCUUCAUAAUUAAACAAAAUCAAACUUGAAAAAAAAAAUCACACACACACACACAAAACAAUCACAAAAACUAUUUGUUCUGAUCAUCCCUGCUUUUUUUUAGCGUAGCUCUUGGAAUGAAAAUUAACAAAAAGUGUCAAAAGAGAAGCAUUAAACACAGCAUUGAAGCACCAGCCCAAAAUCCCAGAGCAACCAAAUCCCGUAAAAUGAUAAUACAGCAUCAAAACCGAAACAACAAAACUAAACACAAACUGAACAAUCUAACAAUCAGUGACCAAUCUCUUCCACUUUGGCCGCAACCCCAUCACACACAAUAGAUAGUACCCGUACAUGAUCACAUGCACACUUGCAUUAGUCACAAGUGCAAUAGGAAACAAAGACUGCUUCGUCUGUAACCAAAGGUAGCACAUUACGACGACGGUUGCAUGGUGGUAGACGUGGAGGAACGUGAGCCAUUGGAUGGAUUUUGACAAAAUGAUCAAAAGGGUGUCUAAGAAUUCGAGUAUUUUGGAGAGGUAGAAGAGGUAAGCGUAGAAGAAGAGGGGCCAGACGGAGAAAUGGUGGGGGGGAAACAGAGGGUGUAAUGGAGGUGGGGCAAAUGGACGAUGAUGGAGAGAGUGCAGCCAACGGCCAUGAUGAGGGAGAGGAGGAGGAGGGUGAGGUUAUGGACGGCUGUGAUGGGCUUGAGGAUGUGGGGUCCAAUGAGAGGUGAUGAUGAUGGUGAUGUUGAUGUUGAUAUGUGGUAGAGGAUGAAUGUGAGGGAGAGGUAAGUGAGGAUGGAGAGAAUGAGGAAGUGUGGGGAAGAAGCUAGUGUUUGGUUCUGAGUCCAUGUGAAGCUGAGGAUUUGGGGGUGGUUUACAAGACAAUAUUGGAGUGUUGAGGUGAUUGAAUUUGAAGCCAUGGCUAGUUUUGGGGGAAGAAAGAUUUUGGAAGAGAUGAUGUUGAGAUGAACGGGGAGUUUAUAAAGUUUUGGGAUAAUGUGGAGGGUAUUUUGGACAUAUUGUUGUCUCAGCUUAAAUUUUGGGAAAAAGAUGAUCAAUAAGAAGCUCUUUUUUUCAUAUCAAUUUAAAACUCCGACGGUGUUUCCAAAAAUUGUUUUUCUUUUUCCGUUUUUAAUUUUAAAUCAUAAAUUUAGUAAAAGAAGUUGAAUCAAGUGAUCACUUUUUUUUUAAUGUAAAACAAUUAAUUUCUUUGUGAUUUAAGCAAAUAUUGAGUUGCAUACUUUAAAUAUAUUAAUAUUUGAUUCGAAAUUUCAUCUACCGAAACUACAAAAAUUAAUAUUUUCUAUUAAAUCAAAACCAAAAUUAAAGAUGACUCCUUGUCUGCCAACUGUCAUUAAACAAAGCCAUCACUCACGUGAAAAAAAAAAGUGAUAUAUUCAUUUUAACGUAAUUUCAUACCAACAUAUCAUUCUUUUUUUUCCAAUAAUGACCUCUUUAAUUAUAAAUAUGGUAAAAGGGGAUGGGUUCGAGGUAUGGCGUCCGGGCCUUUGUGACAACGGUAUCUUUGGACGUGGGUGUCGUUAGAUUUUUGGCUAUUUUCUGGUCAAUCAAACUGGUGGAUCACAUGCAUUUUAAUGACCUCUUUAAUUAUAAAAAUAUGGUAAAAGGGGAUGGGUUUAAGGAAUGGCGUCCAGGCCUUUGUGACAAAGUUGGAUGUGGGUGUCAUUUAGACUUUUGGCUAUUCUGCUCAAUCAAACUCGUGGAUUACAUGCACUCAACGCGGACAUUAUGGAAAUGGGAGAAAAUUAUGUUAGUAAUAGCAUCUUCAAAAGUUUCUAUACAUUUUACUCUUUAAAUAUUUAUUUACUUAUUUAUAUGAUAAAUAGAAAGGUAAAAAAAUAUAUUAUUCUCCAAAAAAACUCUUUCAAAUAAAAAUUAAGUUAAUAUUAUUUUAAUCAAAUAAUUAUUUUUUAAAGGAAAAGUUAACAGCAAUUAAAGCACUUCUCUUUCUCUCUCUAAUAAAAAGUAAUAAAAUAUUAAUUGAAGUGUUUUUUAGAACCUUAAAUGUUGAUGUGACUCUUCAAAUAAGUAAUAAAAUCUUAAUUGAAGAGCCUUUUGGUGAUGGUUUAAAACCCACUGUUUUCGUUCUAAACUAAGUGAAUUUAUCUCGUGAGCUAAGUAGUUUAGGAGAUAACUCAAAUAAUUAACUUUUAUUAGUUUAAUAAUAAGAAUUUUCGAUUAUAUUUUAAAAGGUAUAAUUCAUUACAAAAAAUUACUUAAUAAAAAUAACUUUAUUUAACAUAUUACAUUUUUUCAAUAAUAAAAUAAUUCAAAUUUUUAAUUAUUAUAACAAAAAAAAUUUGUAAUAUAAUCCAUUCAUAUACCACAUCACGUAAAAUUAACCUAGUACUACAUGUAAUCUUGUUACUACUAUUCCUAUAAUAUUCUACACAUCAUAUACUAUCAAAUUCCAUCCGGCAUGCCAAAUGUGCAAAGUUUGAGUAAGACUUGUUAAAGUUGAGAGUAACAUCUUAUAUGGCCAAGCGCAUUGAGUAUGGAUUUGCAUGAUCGAGUGAGUACAACUAAAGUCGGGUAGAGUCUGGAAAAUCCCUAUAAUGUUGAGGUUGGAGAACUAUACUUUUUAAGGUACAUAAUUAAACAAUUUUGGUAAAUAUUUACUAUUAUAACUUAAAAUUAAUUUGAUUUGAUCUCAUAUAUUAUUAUAAUAAAAAAACUUAUAAUAUCUUUAUUAAUUUUAUUAAAAAUUAUUAUUUAGAAGUCAUAUAUUUAUUACACAUUGUCAAAUUUUCAGCUUUUUGUUUUUUAACAACAGCUAGUAAUAUCAACAAGACCUAAGUUGAGUAUGAUCAAUUAAUUAAAAUUAUGAUUUUUUUUUGUAUAAAAUAAUCAUUAGAUAAUUAGUCUGUAAAGAAUAUCGGCUACUUCAAAUGGAAACUUGCGAUAAAAAAUGCAUCACAAAAGUAACAAUGACACACUAUAUAAGAAAUCUGAAAUAGAAUUUGCAAAAUUGAACUGAGUUACGGAGAGUAAAUAAGACUCAAAGGAAACAUGGGCAAUUAUUAUUAUCUAGGAAACAAUUCAUAGCUAAAACAAAAUUAACUAUACUUGCCAGGAAAUAUGGCGAAUUCCACCACCUCCUACAAGUUCUUAGGUGUCUUAGAGUUUGAUGACGACUUCCAUGCUGUCUCUUCGACAGGCAGCAAAAUUGGGCAAUUGACUACAUUAACUCCAAGAAAUUUAUGCAGUCACCUUCCUCCGGACUAUCCUCUUUCUUUGAGCUUUGGUUGCCCCUAUUUCCCCUUCAAUAGAGUCAUCACUGUUUUGUUUGAAGCCAAGGAGCCCAAGAUCAGAAAAAUGGCAUUCUUUGGUAUCAAUCCCUCGAUCCCAAAGUCACGUCACUAACUUUCUGUUGAUCGCGUAGCUAGUUCAUGUAUGCCACAGCAGCGGAAGGUAGCCUGAAGAGAAAAAACCUCUCUCUCUUUCUUGCUCAGUAACCACCUGGGCACUUUUGUGCUGAGCCAUGACAUCCUGAGAUGGCCUGUUGUGUAAGCCUUCUUCAAAAGGUCAUCUGUCGAUCUUUCUCCUAAUUAGACAUCCAAAACCCAGCAUGGAAUCCAUUUGAGAAGGUGGACAAUAGACAAACUCCAACGCAUACAGACAGUAAAGAAGAAUUUAGACGCAAUCACUGUGGCUGAAUAAAUGGGCCUAUUAAGCCUAUUAAAAGUUGGAACCAUAUUCACCACUCGCAGUUCCUUAGAGAACUUUAUCAGAAUUCUGAAAAUUUAAAACUAUUCUUACAUAUUUAACUGUAAAACAAGAGAAAUUGUACUUCCGUAGCAAAGUCUCACUAUUGGUAAGUAUCUGGACUUGGAAAGGAUGCUAGUUGAUUAAGUAAAGGAAAAUUGAAAUCAGACUUUGAGGUGAUAGAUCUAUAUACACUUUAAUCGGAACCACAUUAACAUCAUAUGAGCCAAACAAACAAAUUCCCCAGUCAAAGUUCAACAAACAAAACAUUAAAACAAGAGUAAUUUGGUGUAUCAAUGUAUAUAUAGAGAUGUCGAUCAUUGACAAAUACGUAAAAGAGGGAGGGAGAGACCUCAAAGCCGUGCUUAACAACAUUGCUACUCCAAUAACUUCAAAAUGGUUGGCGACGUCUCUAUCAAAGCCACACAAUAGCUGAUAUCUCAUGUUUGCAUGUAGUCCAAUGAAAGCACCAUAACCAAGAACAUUAGUACUCACAGAUGGGUUUGUCACAGAUAACCUGUCAGGCAAUAAAAAUUGCCCAAAUUAAACAAAUGUUAGACCGGCUUAGACAGUAAACGGAACAAUUUCUAAUUUUACUUAUUUUAUAACGAAUAAGUGAACAAAGGAAUGAAAAGGAAGUUUGGCAACAGUCUUUUUACCAGCCAGAUAGUUUGACAAAGAAUCUUGCACUGCUCCUGCAGCUAAUCCACCAUACACAACUCUGCAGUCUUGUUUGGGAGUCAAAAUUCUCAAAAUGGGUAACUCUGUUCAAAUAUACUGUUUGGGAACUUUUGUAAUGUAUUUUGCAAGUCAAACAGGAAGGUAUUUCCAUAAGAAGGUUCACUUCACAUGCUCAACAAUUCAAAUUUGCGGAUGAUAUUUCUCAAAAUGGAGGGCUCUAUUUGGCUUGCCAACAAUCUUCCUCACCAUUAUCAUCCUUGCUAUACCGGUUAAACUGAACAGUCUUCAUUCUGACAUUUGCCCUAUUAACCUGAGUACACAAGAAUCCGAAACAACUGUUAGAAAUUAUAAUCUUUAUAUAUAGCCAAAAUGUUGAAUAAGAUGAUGUACUUGAUAAUAAAAUACCUGAGUUAAUAAAUAAUUAAGGGCCGGUAACAAUGUCAGCAUCUUAUCAAGUGGGAAAGCCUACGCAACGAAGAUGCUGCCUGCUUUCAAGAAAUAAUAACUUUCCAAUUCCAUAAGGUAGGUUAAUGCCCUUUUAAAAAUAUCUCCACCAGCCUAACAAUUAUUCAUUGAAAUGUGUGAGUGUGAAUUCGAACGAAUUAAUCAAAUAUGAUGACACGAGAAAGAAAAUUAAAAUAACCACAAGAAGUAGAAAUAUACUUUUGUUAUAUUUAGUGCAUCUUCUGUGUGUGCUCAAACGCAAUGCCUCAAGGCGCAAGAUAAUUUUAUGACCAUCAAUCUUUUGCAGCCAUAUGCAGACUUGAAACAUUGGCGGUGGUUCUAAGGAACUUGAAAAUUAGAAAAGUUUCAAAAUGAGUGACUAAAUAUGAUAAUCGAAAUUAAUUAAAUAUACACGCCUUGUAAAUAUGAAACUAAAUUACUCAAAUGUAUGUGCCUCUUCGCGCAGCAAUUGCUCGUGGUGGAAACUUUACUGCAAAGACUUCCUCAAACCCUUGAAGAUCACACUCUUCCUGGCAACAAAGAAACAGAGUCGAUAUACGAAGAUGAUUUUACUAACAAGUGAGAGCUUGCAAAUAUUGGAAGGAUAACGAUUGCUCAUAACCCAAAUCCCCAAUACCCUCUAAUAUCUCACUCGAGUGAGUUCAAGCCCCCAAAAUUCACUACAGUGAAACUCUCGAAACAAAAUUCUCUUCAAAUAUUCUCAACUCAAAUUUGAUAAUGAUAUCUCUUGAAGGAAGGCAAAAAAUCUAACACUGAUCAAAUUGGCUUGUGAACAAUUAAUGUUCCUGGCCAUCAUUCAUACUAGGUGUGGCGAACAAUUAAGCUGCUUAGUAUCCUGAACCUGAUAACUUACACAAACACAAAACAACUUGCCUAAAGUUUAAUAUUUAGAGGCAGAACGGUAAAGAAGAAGAUAUAUAUUGAUACUAAAAUUUGACUUGCGUUACCCUGAUGUCAAGAAUAGCGGGAUCUCAUGUGGGCAAAAUCUUCGCAAUACGAGAUGCUUGCAAAAUUGAAGCAGCAUCUUAUCACCUGUAAUUUAAUUAAGAUAAUAACUUUCCCCGACUAUUUCAAUGCAUUAUUGGCAACUAAAUUCAGAGGGCGCUAAUUAAAUACCCUUUUAACAAUAUCUUCUUAUCUUCUUAAUCUAGCAGUUAUUUGGAAAAUCUAAAUGACACUUUUAUGUAUUCUGUGAGAUGCUCAUUCAACCAUGUUUGCAUUCUUCUUAUACUAAUAGGAGAUUUAAUUUUUACCCUCAAGUCAAUGUCAAUGUGAACGUUCUUUUGUGCUGCAAAUUGAAGGAGUCCCCACAGGAGUCACCGUCGUGGUUACUUGCUGCUCUUAAGAUAAUUAGUAACAAAAUAUUUGUAAACUGCAACAAAAAGCUCAGUGCAAUCUAUCUAUGAAUCUUGUGAGUUCACAUAUAAUACAGUCGAUUUAGAAUAGUCAUAAAUUUUUUUAUUAUAAAUAUUAGUAUAUUUUUAAUGGUAUAAUAUAUAUCGAUGAAACUAUAUAGAGUAAUUUCGCCUAAUUGUAUAAAUUCAUUACGAAUAUCAUCACAAAUUUGUAUUUGGUCGGGACCGUGCGAGUGAAAUUUUUGAUAAAAUCGUCUCCUGACAAUUUAUUUAUUAUAUUCCAUUCCUUUUAUUAUCAGGUAGGCCAAAGCCAUUUGGACAUUUGAAAAAAGUAUGUGAUUCUGUUUUAGUCUAUUAUGUCACGACAAAAAGAGAAUUGGAAAAUGUAACAUUCUCAAAUUAAUUUGUAGUGGAAAAGAGAAAAAUAAGACAAAAGUUGGAAAAAUCAUGCAGCCGACCCUUUUUUUUUAUCUGAUUGCGCAAUAUUAGGUAGGCGAAUGCGACUUCAUCGAUAUCACACAGCAGUGGUUCUGUCAUUAAUUUUUUCUUUUAUUUAAUUAAGAAAAGGAAGAAAAGAUAGCACAUGUUAUGAUUAUUGUGAAUUUUCCAUCCCUUAUAUAAAUUCUCAAAUUUAUUUAAAUUGUGAGUCAUAGAAGUAUAUUACCUAAACUAUUUUAUCAGGCCAUGUUCGGAUACUAGGAUUAAGUAUGGAAUUGGACUAAUUUUGUGAUUAUAUUUUAUAUCAAAUUUGGUAAGCUUAAUUGAAUUGGACUAAGGGACUAAAUUUAAGUUUAAUCCUAAAAUUAUGGGAUUAAUAAUCCUAAUUUACACAUUCCUUUAGUUGGGACUUGGGAUAAGAUUAAAGAAAAAAGUUAUCCAUUUAUGAGACUUUAAUUUAUGUCAUUAUUUUUUUAUUUAUACUUUAAUAUUAAUUAAUUUAUUAAUUUAUUUUUAAUUUAUGAUUUUACUUAAAAUUUAUUUUUAUUUAUUAUCUAUUAUCUGGUUAAAUUAGAACUUUACUUCUACUAACUCUUGCGAUUAAUUUUUCAUUACUUGCGUAUUUGAUAAUUUGCCAAUAAAAUUAACCAUUUAAUAAUUUCUUGCAUUAUUUGAUUGUAUUAAAUUUAAUAAUCACUAAUAUAAUAUUAAAAAUAAUCAUGAAAAUUAAUAAUACCUUCAAUUAAUUGAUUUUUAUAUACUUUUUUAAAUAUUUGAUAAGAAGUUGAUAAAAAUUAAUUAAGGAUUUAAAAUUUUAUUCAUUUUUUAUUUAUUUAUUUUAUCAUGAAUACCCAGUAUCUUACAAUAUAAUUAAUUUUCUUAUUCAGACUACUCAGCAUCAGCUCCUGUAAAAUUUCUUACAUUAUAAGCAACAAAAUAUUUAUAAACUACAACAAAAGGCUUAGAUCAAUCCACCGAUGAACCUUUUGAAGUUAUAUAUAAUAUAUUAAUUGUUGAUCUAGAAUAGUCUUAGUGGAUAGAUUUUUUUUAAUUAUAAAUAUUAAUAAAUUUUUUAUCGUUUAAUAGAUAUUGAUGAAAUUAUAUGGAGUAAUUUCGCCUAAUCAUAUUAAUUCAUUAUGAAUUUCAGCACAAAUUUGUAUGUGAUCGAUCUGGACCGUGUAAGUGAAAUUUAUUUACUAUAUUUUUCAACUUGGCCGACAACAUCUUUUUGUCAGGUAGGCAAAAGCAAAAGCCAUUAUCUCAUUAAUUGAUUUGGUCAUUUGAGAAUGUAACUCUAUUAUGCCGUGACAAACUCCAAGAUCUAAUUUAGAGAGCGACCCAAAUAAUGGUAAUUAGUAAUUUAUUACAUCUGCAGUUAGAUAGAUACUUUGUCUGGGAAAAAAAUAAAAUCAGUUUUAUAAUGAUUUUAAUUAAUUCAUUUGGUCAUUUGAAAAAGUUGUGGCUCUGUUUUAGUCCAGUGUCAAUAUAUAACUUUAUUAUGUCAUGACAAACUUCAAAAUUUAAUUUAGAGUGUGACUCGAAUAAUUUUAAUUAGUAAUUUAUUAUAUCUACAGUCGGAUACUUUGUUGAGAAAAAAAAAAAUAAAAUCUGUCCCAUAAUGAUUUUAAUAAAUAUCAUACUAUUGUCUACGGACUUACCUCAUAUUACAAAGAAUUAAAAUAUGCGAAAGAUAACUAAGGAAUAAAAUUUUUCCACAAUGAUUUAUAAAAAUUGCUUUUGAAGAACGGUUAUGAUAUUAUAUUAAAUUACUAAGAAUUUAGUUAACCUCUCAAGAAGUCUAUUUGGUUGACUUCUCGAGUUUAAAAUUCGAAUGUCAAAAAAGAUAAAAGGUUAAAAAAAAUAUUUUAAAUAUUAUCCACCCUUUUACUAUUUUAAUAUACAAAAAGAAGAAUUACUUGUUUUUAACAAUAGCAACCGGGGGCAUAAUAUAUCUGAUGGAUUUUUUUAAGGAACAAAACUUAUUAUAUCUCCUAUCAAAAAUGUCAUUUUUGUUAGUAAAAGGAUAUCUAUAUCUCCAAAUUUUGGAAAAAUGGUUACCAGCGCUUCCAAGUCCUAAAUUUUCAAAAAGAGACACUAAAACUCAUUUUUUACUACAAUACCCUUUACUUUUAUUAUCCCAAAAGUUAACUUUAAUUUUUUUUUAUAAUAAAUAGAAAUAUAAUAUUAAAAUAAAUGUAUUAAAAUUUAAAUUAUUAUGAAAAAUAAUAAUUUUAAUAUUAUUAGUAUAUGAGACUUUUUUAAUUGUAAAAUGUAUUUAAUGCAAAUAUUUAUUUAAAAUCUCUAGAAUAAAUACAAAUAUAUUAUUAAAAUAAAUAUAAUAAUUUACAUAUUUAAAUUUAUUUUAAUAUUAUUAAUCUACUACAUAGAUUACAUUAUUUAUAUAAUAUUUGUGUUUACUAAAAAUUUGCAAGUUAAAUUUUUUCGGGAUACUAAAGGUAAAGAGUAUUAUGGUCAAAAGAGAGUCUUGAUGUCAUUUUUAGAAAACUUGGGGUGUUGGUGACUAUUUCUCCAAACCAUGGGGAUAUAGAUAUCCUUUUCUCUUUUUUAUUUUAAACAAGUGGUGACUAAAGAUUAAACUGUCAUAUAUUCACAAGAUAUUCACCACAAAAUUUGUAGGAAAUUUCUUCUUCCCUAAGCGGAAAAUACAAAACAAAAACAUAAUUGGCAAUUUCACUAGCAAAACUAAUAAUACUUUUGUUCCAUAUCCAGGGGUAGAGCUCGGGGUAAAUCUUCAUGACGCCCAAAUUCAAAUUUCAAGUGUUAGCUGGGAAUUAAUUUUAGACAAUUUUAUUUAUUUAUUUAUAGCUAGUAUGUAAUUGUUAGGUAUUUCAAAAUUUGAGAAUUUUGUGAUUCUGUGAGAAUGUUGAUUCAAGCAUGUUUGCAUUCUUCUUAUAAGUACCAUAGGAGAUAUUUAGUUUUUUACCCUCAAGUCAAUGUCAAUGUGAACGUUGUUUUGUGCUGCAAAUUAAAGGAGUCCCCACAGGAGUCACCGAUUUGCUUUGAGAAUUUUGAGAAUUAUGUUUUGCGAGUGAAAUUGCCAUUUUGUCAUAAUGGAAUUUUGCUUUCUGAUCAAUAAUUGAGAAUUUUGCUUGUAGCUACAGGCUGCAGCGAUUUUGAUUUGACGGCUUUGAUUCAUAAUUGAAGUUACUGUUGCAAGUAAAAACUAAAAAAAUUAACAAAAUAAAAAUCAAAGACUUAGGUCCAUGUUGCAAGUAAAAACUAAAAAAAUUAACAAAAUAAAAAUCAAAGACUUAGGUCCAUGUUUUAUCAAAAUUUUAAUAAAAGGCUAUUUGUCAUUUUGUCAUAAUGGAAAAAUGAUUAACAAAAUAAAAAAAUCGAAUUUACUUGAUUUUAUUUUACAAAAUAUAAAUUAAAUUUCUAUUAUAUGUAUAAAGUUUAUACAUCAAGUGCUUAGGGGUCAAAUCAAUCUUUUUAUACCUAAUUUUUAAUAUUUUACUUCGAAACCUCAAAAAUUUUUAAAGUUUGUUGGGUCACAAUCCCCGCUAGGAGUGGGCAAAUUUGUGUUCAUAUCAACUUGAAUAGGUUUUGGGUUGAUUAGGCUAGAACUGGAUCAGAUCAAAAAGUAUGAGAGAAAUUAAUUGAGCUUCUCCCAAGAAAAAUACAUACAGAUGAUUGAUAUAUAACCAUUAAAUAAUAAAUAUGUUAGACUUACAUUUAUUUUUUAGCCCUAAAAGUAUGAAAAAAUUAAUACUUUCCGAAUUUAUUUUUUGUACCGUAAAGAAUCAAAUUACUCACAAAAUUAUUUUUAACUUUCAUCAUGCAAACAAACAAAUCAUCAUCAAUUUCAAUAGAAAGAAGUAGAAUAUGAUGUAUUUAGGACUUCCUACUCUAUUAGCUAGGUUAAUAACAUGUUAAUUGUCACAUCAUUAAUUUUAGAUUAUAAAUUUUAUAUUCAAACUUUGUAUGACUGCUCCUUUUUCAAUGAUCUAAUGUUAGAGUGCAAUUUAUGCACUAGUUUUGCAUUGUUUACUUCCUUUAAUAUUGAUAUUUUACACUUAAUAAUAGUGAUUUACUUGUAUUUUAUUUUUGUAGGUGCAAUUCUAUUGAUUGGUGCUAAAAUUGAGAUACAAGAUGAUGUUUAAGGAUGGUUGUUCUCUUGGAUAAAUUAUGAGUGUCAGAAGAACUUUGUUGAUAAGGCGUGGGCGCGUGCUGUCAACUACGGACCUGCAGUUUUUAGUUUAAUGUGUUUUGUAUUUUUGGUUAUUUUUGUAAUUAUGAAUUUAAUGUUUCAGAUAUUAGUAUUUUAUUUUAAAUAGAACUCUAGAGGAGAAGAGAGGGAGAGUAUUUAAGGGAGGAAUCUAUUGUGAAAAAUGUGAGAGAUUGGAGAAAAAGAAAGAAACCCUAGAUCUAAACUUUUCUCUUCUCUCUAUGAAGAACUAAACCUAUUUUUCUAGUUGAAGGUUAAUGAAGCUUUGAUUCAUCACUACUGUGAGAUCUUUCUUAUGCUUUAAUUGUUUUAUUGCUUUUUGGGUAUUUGUUUAUUUUUUGAAUUAUUUUCAUGAUUAUGUUUGUUAAUUAGGUAAUUGGACACUAUUUAAUUAUCAACUUAAUCUAUUGUCAAUUCAAUGAUUCAUCGUAUGAAGAUUUUAAUGUUUGUGACAAAUAACAUAGCAGUGAGUUGUAUUAUGAGAAUAAACAAUCUAAUUUAAAUGAACCAUCGUAUGUGUUUGUUGAUUAGGAUUUGGGUCUCUCUGGUUUUUCAGGCUGUCAAUUGAUAUAAUCUUAUGAUUGUAUUUAGGGUUGUCUAUUGAUUAGGGAAAUAACCAACGGUCGUACCUUGGUUAUCGACUAGUUAAGGAGAGAUUGGCUAUUAGAGGGUCUCAGUAGCUAUAACCGGUGUAUUCAUAAGUAGUAAUAAUUUAUAUUUGAAUCAAUGAUUAGUAGUCGAAUCAAGCUCAGUUAAUUCCUUCAACCAAAGCUUUCUCCAAUUUGAAUUACAACUUUAAUUUGCAUUCUAGUUAUUUUAAUUUGAUUUCUAUUAUUGUCAACAACUCCCCCAUUUUACGUUUUACAUUUUAAAAGGAUUUAAAUAAUUACCGAUCUCUGUGAACACGACCCUGCUCAAUCAUUAUACAUAAUUUAUUUAGAGUAUGUAUUUAUUUUUGCUGUCUUCGACAAUCAUCAAAUUUUGGCGCCGUUGCCGGGGAUUGGUGUCGUUUAUUUAAUCCUUUUUACAUUUUACUUGGUGUAUGGUUCAUUCUUCUCGUACAGGUACACUUUCGUUUGAUCCUGAAAUUGAGAAGACAGCUCGCCAGCUGAGACAGCAGACGAAGCAAGCUAAGCAACGAUUCUCGUCGCCUUUGCUUUUUGAAACAGAUACAGUGUCUGAUUUGAUUGAAUCAUCUAGCGAUUCAGAAGAACAAGUGAUGGAUAGAGCUGCACCUGUAGAAAGAACUCUUAAAGAGUUAGCUGAACCAGACUUGAAUCAGCAACCACUCUGCAUUCAAUAUGUAGACUUGGAGGUAAAUUUUGAAUUAAAGUCUGGUCUUAUUAAUUUAUUACCCAAGUUUCAUGGUUUUGCAGGUGAAGAUCAUCAUAAACAUCUCAAGGAGUUUCAUGUUGUGUGCUCAAGUAUGAGGCCACAAGGCGUGACUGAAGAGCAGAUUAAGCUGUGUGCUUUUCCGUUCUCUGCAGAUGGGCUAGCUAAAGACUCGUUGUACUACUUGCCUCCUGGAUUGAGUACAACGUGGAAUGGUUUGAAGAAGCAGUUCCUUGAGAAGUACUUUCCUGCUUCAAGAGCUGCCAACAUCAGAAAAGAUAUUUGUGGGAUCAGACAACUUCCUGGGGAGAUUUUGUAUGAGUAUUGGGAGUGAUUCAAACAAUUGUGUGCCAGCUGUCCUCAGCAUCAGAUUUCUGAUCAACUUCUUAUUCAAUAUUUUUACGAAGGACUGUCAUUGAUGGAUAGGAGUAUGAUAGAUGCUGCUAGUGGAGGCGUGUUGGUGAACAAGACCCCUACUCAAGUAAGGGAGUUGAUCUCAAAUAUGGCUGCCAAUGCACAACAAUUUAGCAGCAGGCAAGAUCCCACUUCAAAGAAGGUGAAUGAGGUAAAUAUUUCUUCUGUUGAACAACGUUCAGAUAAACUUACUUCUCUUGUGGAAAAGUUUGUUUUAGGUAAUGUACAAUAGGUGAAGACUUGUGGCAUCUGUUACAAUAUGGGUCAUUCAACUGAUAUAUGUCCUACGCUUCAAGAAGAACCCGUUGAACAAGCCAAUGUAGUUGGAGGAUUUCCAGGCAAGCCUCAGAAGAGGUAUGAUCCUUAUGCACAAACAUACAAUUCAGGGUGGAAGGAUCAUCCCAACUUCAACUAUGGAGUUAGGCCGUCAGGAUUCCCACAACAGUAUCCACCAAGACAACCAGCACCUCCACAGUCAAACUCCAAGUCAGGUAUAUCUCUUGAAGAAAUUGUUAAAUCACUUGCAACUAACACUCAACAAUUUCAGCAGGCAACUACAGCAAGCAUUCAGAAUUUGGAGAACCAAAUGAGUCAAUUGGCCACUACAAUGAGCCGUCUGGAGUUUCAAGUAUUAGGGAGAUUGCCUUCACAAUCUGAGGUAAAUUUAAAGCAAAACGUUAGUACUGUCAUCCUUAGAAGUGGGAAGGAGUUACAAGAGCCUAGUAAGAAAGUGACAAAGCAUGUAGAAGAUGAGCUUGAGAAGAAUGAAUUGAUGCCUAAAUCUCAAGAUGCGCAACCCACCAAAGCGAAACCCCUACCUAUUGUGAUACCUCCUCAUUUUCUAAGCCGGUUUGUAAAAUCCAAGAAGGAGGAACAAGAGAAAGACAUCCUUGAGACAUUUCGCAAGGUUGAGGUAAAUAUUCCUUUAUUAGAUGCUAUAAAACAAAUACCUCGAUAUGCUAAAGUUCUUAAGGAACUGUGCACCUCCAAGAGAAAAUUAAGAGGAGAUGAAAAAGUUCACAUGGGGGAGAAUGUUUCAGCAGUUCUCCAAAAGAAAGUACCUCCUAAGUGCAUGGAUCCAGGUAUGUUUACUAUCCCUUGUAAAAUUGGUAGUGUUAGAGUUGAAAAUGCUAUGUUAGAUCUAGGAGCUUCUAUUAAUGUCAUGCCUCGUUCCAUUUAUUCAUCUUUGAAUGUUGGUCCAUUGAAAAAAACUGGCAUGAUAAUUCAACUAGCUGAUAGGUCUAAUGCAUAUCCUGAUGGGGUAUUAGAAGAUGUCUUAGUACAAGUUCAUGAGUUGGUUUUUCCUGUUGAUUUUUAUGUACUUGAUAUGGAAGAGGAUAACUCCUCUAAUUCUUUCCCAAUUUUGCUAGGAAGACCUUUUCUUAACACUACUAGGACUAAAAUGGAUGUACAUAAAGAGACUCUCACUAUGGAGUUUGAUGGAGAGGUUAUAGAAUUCAAUAUGAAUGAUGCCAUGAAAUAUCCUAAUGAGAAACAUUCGGCAUUUUCUGUGGAUGUUAUUAACCCUAUAAUGCAGGAAGUUUUUUACAAGGAAAAGACGAAGAAAUUUCAUGAUAGAAUGAUUUUGAGAAAGGAGCUCUCUGUUGGUCAAAAAGUUCUUUUUUAUUCUAAGCUUAAACUUUUUCCGGGUAAAUUACGUUCUUGCUGGGUUGGACCUUUUAUUAUUACUAAUGUUUUUCUUCAUAGUGCAGUUGAGAUUCGGAGUCCGACCUCUGACAAAGUUUUUAAGGUUAAUGGUCAUCGGUUAAAACCUUUUUAUAAAGGUUUUUCGGUGAAUAUUGUGGAGGAUAUGGCUCUCAAGAGUCCCAAUUAUGGAGAUUGAUGCAUAAAUGUGUCUAACCAAAGACAUAAAACAAAGGCGCUUUUUGGGAGGCAACCCAAAUGAUUUAUUUAUUUUGGUUUUUGUUAUAUCUUCUUUUCAUUUUGAUUCAGAUUUUUUAAAAAAAAUAACGUGUUUGCUUAUUUUGGCCAGAAGAAAAUGUUUGAUAAGGCGUGCCCACAUCUUAACUAAUAAGUACUUCUGUGAUUUUUAACGUAAAAUGGUUUUAAGGCGUGCGCACGUGCUUAUUAAAAAAGUACUUCUGAAAUUUUUAGUGUCUCAAGUGAUACAUCACUAAAAAAAAAAUUAUUUUAUUUAUUUAUUUAUUUGAAAAUUAAAAAAAUAAAAAAAGUUUUUUUUUCUUUUCUUUCUUUUAUAUUUUUAUUUAUUUGAAAAAAAUUUAAAAAAUGAAAAAAUAAAAAAAAGUUUUUUCUUUUUUUCUUUUAUAUAUUUUAUUUAUUUAUUUAUUUGAAAAAAAAUUUAAAAAAUAAAAAAAUUUUACUGUUCACAAAAUCCCUAAUUCACAGAAUUAGUGUUCUUCUCCAGCCGCUCCAGCCUUCACCGAGCAGCCACGCAGCACCAGCUCCAUCCCCAGCGCGCAGCAUCAUCCCCAGCCAGCGCGCAAGCAACCAGCCCCAACCCGCGCAGCACAACCAUCUGCGAAUAACCUGAACCAACAGCCGUGUACCUGCAAGCUCCAGCCGAGCAGCAACCAUCCGCAGCCGGCCUACGCCCUGCAUUCUAGCCGCGUGAAUCAAAAUCCGUGAGUUCAAUUAUUGUAACAAUGCCGAAGAGGAAAGCAUCAACUUCCAAGUCAUCUAAAAAGACACUCGUCGCAAAGAAAUCCAAGAUUUCCGCUCCCACUACGGUUCCAUGGAACACAGUUUUAGAUUCACGCCAAGCCGUGAGAUAAAGAUCGAAACAUGGAAAAGGCAUGAGUGUUUUGCCACUUGCGGAAUCCAAUCUCAGAGGGUGCCUCACAUUCACGACUCAACAAGAGAAAGAAAUGUACAAAGAUAUUUCCAAGCGAAAAAUACUUCCAGCUAAGUAUAUUCAUUACCCGACUCUUGAAAAAUUGAAUGUCAAGAAUAGUUUUGAUUCUUUGAUAGAUAAGAUUGGUUUGCGUAAGUUUGUUGAUGUUGAUUGUUUGGGUUAUGUUGAGUUGAUUAGGGAGUUCUAUGCUACUUUUCAAUUUAAUAUACUGAAUGAUUUUACUUUGCAUACCUCAGAUGUUAUAAAGUUUAGGUUAAUGGGACGAAAUUUUUCACACUCUAUCACGGAUUUUAACCUAGUUUUAGGAUUCAUUGAUGAUGAUUAUUCUUCUAGUGAUGUAUAUUUAGGGACAACUUGUGACUUUAGCGAAAAUUUUGAGCCUUAUGGUCUUUGGCGUAAUUUAUCUGUUGAUCACAAUGCCUAUGACCCAAGUAAAUCAAAGAGUUCUUUCUUACGUGAUCCUGUUUUGAAAUGUAUGCAUCGGUUCUUAGCAUAUAAUUUUUUAGGAAAGAAAGAUCACUCAAGAGUUUUCUCUAAAACUGAGUUUUGUUUUAUCUGGUGCAUAUUAAAUGAUGUGAGGCCUAACUUAGGUUUUUGGUUAGCAGAUCAAUUUCAAAGUGUGCUUAAACGGUAUAGGACUUUAUUUCUUGGUUCAUACAUUACUCUGUUAGUUAUAAACUUAUGUGUGCUUGAUCAUGACAACAAUGAUUUAUAUCCUGCUUGCAAAAAGAAAUUUUUGGAUAUGUCUGUGUUUGAAAGAACAGGUGUGGUCGAAUUCAAGGAGGGGAAAUUUCAGUUUACUGAACCAGGACCCACCCAACUUCCAAAGAAGUUUUAUACUAGGAGUGGUGCUACCUCUGAUGACGAGUUUGACGACGAAACUGCGGCCCCACCAACUAUUCCUUUUACAUCCGCACAACCUUUGAGCAUUCAGUUAGAGAAAAUGGAGCACAAGCUGAACAAGAUGGAGCAGAAUUUGGCCUCAUACUUCGAGAGUGUGGGAUUUAUCCCACCAUUUCCACUAAGCCCAUAGACGUUAUGAGGAUCAAAGCUCACAAUUCAGGAAAGUUUUCGCCUUUAAUCUUUUAUCCUUACGCUUUAAUUUUUAUGUGAGCUUUGAUUAUCUUACAUUGGGGACAAUGUAAGUGUCUGUCAAUGACAAAUUUAACCCACUACCACCAUUCAUAAUUAACCAAAAUCAAAUAAAUUAAAAAAGAAAACACAAAACAAGGAUAACUACUAGUUGUUUUGAUCAUCCUUGCUUCUUUUUCUUAGCAUAGCUCUUGUAAUGAAAAUUAACAAAAAGGGCCAAAAGGGAAGCAUUAAACACAGUAUUGAAGCACCAACCCCAAAACCCAGGGAAACCAAAUCCCGUGAAAUGAUAAUUCAGCAUCAAAAUGAAAAAUGUUAUGGAUGGCUGUGAUGGGUCUGAGGAUGUGGGGUCCAAUGAGAGGUGAUGAUGAUGGUGAUGUUGAUGUUGAUGUGUGGUAGAGGAUGGAUGUGAGGGAGAGGUAAGUAAUGAUGGAGUGAAUGAGGAUGUGUGGGAAGAAAGCUAGGGUUUGGUCUUGAGUCCACGUGAAGUUGAAGACUUGUGGGUGGCUUACAAGCAAUAAUGGAGUGUUAAGCUGAUUGAAUUUGAAGCCAUGGCUGGUUUUGGGGGAAGAUUGAUUUGGGAGAGAUGAUGGUCAGAGGAAUGGGGGAGUUUAGAAAGUUUGGGAUAUUGUGACGGGUGUUUUAGGCAUAUUUUUUCGUCUUAGCUUAAAUUUUUGUUAAAAAAAUGAUAAAUUCUUUUCUCAUAUCAAUUUAAAACUCCGAGUAUGUUUCCAAUUCUUCUUCUAUAGUGUCUAGACCUUUGUUUCAACGGCAUCUUUGGACGCGGGUUUCUUCUUUUUUGGUUAUUUCUUCUCAAACUUGUGCAGAUUACAUGCACUCAACGUGGAACCCUUUUGAAUGGAAGUUACUGUUUUGCUGGAAUCGGGACCAAUUUUUUGACAAAAAUUUCGCUAUAAAAUAUACAAUUAAAGUCGAGUAAGAUUAAGUAAAGUAACAUCUUGUAUGGUAAAGUACAUCGAGUAAGGAUUUCUAUAAUCGAGCUAGAAAGUAUAAUUAAAAUUAGAUAAGAGUGCCGCGGAGCAUUGUUUUAAAGUUACAGUAUCAAAGUAUUUAAUAAAUAUUUAUUAUUGUGACUUAAAAAUUAAGUUGGGAGUACAAAAAAAUCAAUAAUACAUUUAUUAAUUUUGUCAAAAUUAUUAUUUAAAAAUCAUAUAUACAAUACAAGAUCAACAAUUAUAUUAUAGCUUCAGUUCCUUUUUCACAAUAACUAUAACUACAACACGGUAGUACUAAAUAGGAAGUCGAGUAUGAUCAAGUAAUUACAUGUUAUGGUUUUUUGGUAUUACAUGAUUCUUCAAACUGAAAUUUGCGAUCAAAAUUGUAUCAAAGAAAUCACAGAGACACUCUGUUUGACAAAUCUGCAGUAGAAUUUGCACAAUUUAACUGGAUUGCAGAGAGUGAAUAAGAUUCCAAAGCAACAGGCAAUUAUUGUUAUUAAGAAAACAAUUCAUCGCUAGAACAAAAUUAACUUUUCUAACAUACUAGAAUUUAACUGGAGAAAAAUUGGAAUAUACGACGUUGUAUCACAUAUAGUAUUUAGACAUCAAGAAAAGAAUCCCUCUAUUAGUGAACUAUACUUGCCAGGAAACACGGUGAAAUACCACUACCUCCCUACUAGAUUAAUGCAGCAAAAUUGGGCAAUUGACUUGAUUAACUCCAAGAAAUUUACGCAGUCACAUUCUUCCGGACUAUCCUCUUUCUUCGCACUUUAGGAGCUGUUGUUUCCCCUUACAGAGUCGACAUUCCCUUGUUUGAUGCCAAGGAGCCCAAGCCCAGAGCCAAUGGCAUUCUUUGGUAUCAACCACUUUGGGAACUUUUGAGUUGAGCCAUUGACAUCCUGAGACGGCCUGUUGUGAGCCUUCUUCAAAAGGUCAUCUGACUGAAGUAGCGGAUCCGCUUCCACUCCUAGCCAAGCAAGCCUUGAUCUUUCUCCUAAUUGGACAUUAAGAACCCUGCAUGGAAUCCAUUUGAGAAGUUGAACAAUAGACAAAGUCCAACACAUAUAGGCAGUAAAGAAGAAUUUGGACAGCAAUUACUGACUGUUUAUGCACAGGGCUGAACAAAUGGGAAUAUUAAGGCACUUAAAAGUUGGAACCAUAUUCACCACUUGUAUUUCCUCAGAGAACUAUCUCAGAGUUCUGUUAAUUUAAAACCAUUCUAACGUAUUUAACUACAAAACUAGAGAAAUCGUACUUCUGUAGCGGAGUCUCACUAUUGUUAAGGAUCUAGACUUGGAAAGUAUGCAAGUUGAUUAGGUAAAGAAAAAUUGAAAUAAUACUUGGUGAUAGAUCAACACACUUCAAUAGAAACCACACUAACAUCAUAUCAGACAAAUAAACAGAUUCCCCGAGUCAAAGUUUAACAAACAAAACAUUAAAACAAGGAUAAUUUGGUACGACCAGAAUAGUCUAUCAAUGUAUAUAGAGAGGGAGAGACCUCAAAGCAGCGCUUAAGAACAGUGCUACUCCAAUAACAUCAAUAUGGUUGAUGACCGCUCUAUCAAAUCCAUUGGAAAUCGUAUACUUAUAAUUUUUUUUUUCAAACUUUGUCUAAAAUAAAUGAAUGAGAUAAGAUAAAUUCGAAUAAAUUAAUCUGCAUAAUGACACAAGAAACAAAUGUAAAUUGACCACAAGUAGAAAUAUACUUUUGUUAUCUUCCAAUUUCUUUCCCUUGAGCUCUGUUUCUGCGAGUGCUCAAAAGCAAGACACGGGCCUUGUUAAGAGUAUAGCUGAAGCUGGUGACGUGUAUAAGCUGCUGAUGAAGCUGCUGAGCUGGCUGGCUAGUGAUGUGUAUAAAUUGAAGGUGCUGAGCUGGAUUGGGUUGUUGUUUACACCAACUAAAGCUGUAACAGAUUAUCCAGCUGGCUUGUUAUGAUUGGAAAUUAGAUUAGUUUGUUAAUACAGCAAACGAUUAGCUCUGUUUUAGUAGUUAGCCUUGAAUGUAACUAUAAAUACUGGCUAACACGUUUUCAGUGUUAAGCUUGAGUUUUAAUCAAUAAAAAUCAAUUCAGUUAAAGUUUCUUUGUUAAUUUUCUUUCACUUUCUCACUUGCCAAACAACCUAUUAAUUCUAAAAGGCCUCAAGAUAUAAUUAUCAUCAUCAAUCUUUUGCAGCCACAUGCAGUACUUGGAAAAUGUUUAUGGCCCUAAAUAACUGGAAAAUCAGAAAACAUUAAGAACAAGAGACUAAUCAUUUUAAUCGCAACAAAACAUGCACACUAUGAAAAUAUAAAAUUGAAUUACUUCGAAUGGAUGUGCCUCUUAACAGGAAUUGCACAAGCUAAUGAGCAAGUGAGCCUUGAACAGUUAUCACUCAACUCAAACUAAAAUGAAAUUACUGUGGACAUGUGAAUUAAAAAUAGAUGUAAAAGUAGUUUUCUCAAAGCAAAGUCAAGAUAAGAGAUUAACUCUGCUCCGUAAUUACAUUAAAAAUAACAAACAAUGAAAAACAGAGCUAGAGAAGAACUUACCUGUGCGUUGAGACCAUGUGGGGAAUGUGAGAUAUCUUCUUAGAUUUGGUUUGAGAAACCCUGCCAAUUAAAAUUUCGGUCCCCAUGUAGCAGAAUUUCUUAUUUUUCCUUUGUACACAAAUGCAGACACUUAAGCAAAUUAAGAUUUCUUAUCUAAAGCAAAUUAGGAUUUCUUUUGACCCUGCAAAUUACAAUUUCAGUCCCCAUGUAAUAGGAAAAUUUUGUACACAUAUUUAUAGCAAAUUAAUAUUUCAUACCUCACAAUAUUUAUCAGAACCAUCAAUCUUUAGAAACCACAUGCAGACUUGGUAAACUGUUUAUGGCCCAAAAUAACAGGAAAAUUAGAACAGAUUUUUAAGAAUGAGCGACUAAAUAUUUCAAUGGCAACUAAAAUUACACAUCUUGGAAAUCUGAAACUCAAGUACUCAGAACACUGUUAGUGCAUUGCAUAAGUCAAUUGCAUAAUCUUGGGUAAAAAUUACGCAGCAAUUAAACAAGCUGGGAACUUUAGUGCAAAUGCUUUUUCAUAAUCUUCAAUUGCAUAAGUCAGUUAGAAUCAAUCUUUCUUAAUCUUUCAAUUCACAUAUGAGAGCCUGAUAACACAAGGAAACACUGUAAGUGAAUUGUCAACUGUGACAAAUUUUGGGUAAAAAUUAUCAACUGUAGUUAUCUGCAUAACAUUUAGUGUCAACCCCAAAUUCCUUACUGAUCCGUGGAAGCAUUUCAGCCCACAGACGGUUAGCUUUGUCAAUAUACGGCAACUCAGGAUUCUAUAUUUAAACUAUGAUGUUUGAUGACUUGCUGAUACAAAAGACAUUGCCCCAAGCACUUUUUUACAUUAGCUAAAAUCAAGCCAAUCACUUCCAUUUGUUGCAGUUUUAAUGCAGAAAGAAAAAGGUGGGGAAAAAAUCUGCAAGAUGCCACUUGUAAUACCGCAUGUUCGCAGAAGCAGAGUUAAAUAAUUACAAAAUUACAUUCUUUAUGAAAGCUUGCGAUUAUUGGGAGAGCUCUACUCAAAUUUAAUGAGAUAUCUCUCAGAAGGGAGAGCUCUAAUAAUAUAUAAAGCCAAAAAUCUAACACUCAUCAAAUUGGCUUGUGAACAAUUAAUCUUCCUUGCCAUCAUAAAUGCCAGGUGUGGUGAACAAUCUUCAUUCUGACAUUUGCCUUAAUAAGCUGCUUAGUAUCCUUAACCUGAUAACUUACACAAACAAAAACAACUUCACUAAAGUUUAUUCUUUAAAGGCAAAACAGUAAACCAGAUGAUGUAUGCUGAUACAAAAAAUUGACCUGAGUUAUCCUGAUGUCAAGAAUCACAGAACCUCACGUGGGCAAAAUCAUCGCAAUACAAGAUGCUGAAUUCAAGCAACAUCUUAUCACCUGUAAUUUAAUUAAGACAAUAACUUUCCUCAACUAUUAGCCUUCUCAAUUUCAAUGUAUUAUUGGCAACUAAAUUCAUAGGGGACGCAGCUAAUUAAAUGCCCUUUUAACAAUAUCUUCCCCACCUAACAAUUAUUUGGAAAAUCUAAAUGACAAUCAUGCAUUGAUGGCAUAAAAUAUUGGCCACAAAGCUGCCUACAAAAAGGCUUUAAAUUCUUAAUGAGACAACGUAUUCGAACAAAUAUGGUGAAUGAAGAGACAAAGCAUAACACCUCAAGAAGUAAAGCUCUGUUUCUGUAUAUGCUCAAACCAAUGGAAACCCAUGGAAAUGGAUUUCUACGAAUUAGACAUGUCAGCCAAAACAGGUACUCUGUACAGGCAAAGUAAAAGAGAGUUACAAAAAAUUUUAAGAUAAUUAAACUUUUAAUAACCAUAUAAUUAAUAGAAAACUUUGUACACAAUGAUUUAUAUGAGAUUAAGAUUGUAUACCUAAGUUUUAAUUGCAAACUAAAUAUACACAACAUGAUAUUAGCAUUAGAAGACUGCACCAAAACGUACCGAAUUGAAUGUACCUUUUAACGGCCAUUGUACAUGCAUUGAAAGUUUACCGCAAAAUCUGUUUCAAACGUGAUGCAUCUUAGAGAUGCAAGAUGAGAAAUUGUUAGUACAACUAGCAUUGAAACAUGUGUGAAAACUGUUAAUGGACCUAAAUAACUUGAAAAUCAGAAAAGAUUAGGAAUGAGUGACUAAGCCUGCUAAUCACAACUAAUCCAAAACUGUUAAUGGACCUAAAUAAUAGUGUUAAUACCGAAUUCCUUCCUCCAUGGAAGCAUAUGAUCAGCCCACAUGUGCUUUGCUCUGUAGCUUUUGAGUACCUGAAAUUGUUAUUACAACCAGCGGUGAAAAUUGGGUGAAAAAAUGGUAAUGUUAGCAUAAUUGAAUUUGCUUAUAGAGGAUAAACCGAUCAAAGAAAAAAACAAGAUAGAAAUGAUUAUCUUAGUACCUUAAUAUCAUGCAAUAAAAAUCACCAUGCCUUCCAGGCAGCUGUCCAUCCUCAAUUGAAACAGAGCAGACCUGGCCAUCACUUUCUUCUUCAAAGUCCAGCAACGGAACGUUGCACACAACACCACAGUGGAAGUAGUUCCAUCACCAGCCUAAUCCUUGAUUACCCCAAUGUUCUCCAUAGGGUCUUCAAAGUCAACCUAAAAAUAAAAUGAAAAUGCAAUGCAUUAUUAUUAGGGAUCUAGUGCUUGAGCUUGCUUUGACAUCAUGGUAUUAGCAAAUUCUGAUAUAGCCAAAAUGGUGAAUAAGAUGAUGUACUUGAUAAGAAAAACCUGAUUUAACAAAUAAUUAAGAAGCCGGUAACAAUCACAUAAUCUCAUCAUGUGGGGAAUGCCUUGGUAACAGAAGAUGGUGCUUUCAUUCAAGCAAUAGCAACUUUCCAAUUUCAUAAGGUAGUUUAAUGGCCCUUUUAAGAACAUCUGUACCAGCCUAACAAUUAUUCAUGGAAAUUAAAAUUCAGAAUCAUAUUAGAUUGAGAGAUGAAAUAUAAUAAGCGAUUUGGCCACCAUAUAUGCAUUUAUCACCUUCAAUUUGCUCAUCUUUGUCUAGAGUAUUGCUUCUGCAUUAACUUAAUUAGCUUGCAAGCCACCUACAAAUGGUUUUAAAUAAUGUGUGAGAGUGUGAAUUCGAACGAAUUAAUCAAAUAUGCUGACAGGAGAAACAAAAGUAAAUAACCACAAGAAGUAGAAAUAUACUUUUGUUAUAUUCAGAGCAUCUUCUUGCGUCAAGUUCUUUUCCUUUAGCUCUGUUUCUGUUUGUGCUCAAACGCAAUGGCUCAAGGGUCAAGAUAAUUUUAUGACCAUCAAUCUUUUUGCAGCCACAUGCAGACUUGAAAAACAGGUCGUGGCCCUAAGGAACUUGAAAAUUAGAAAAGAUUCAGAAUGAGUGACUAAAUAUUAUAAUCGAAACUAAUUAAACAUACACGCCUAGAAAAUCUGAAACUGAACUUCUCAAAUGUAUAUGCCUCUUCGCAGCAAUUGCUUGUGGUGGAACUUUACUGCAAGGACUUUCUCAAACCCUUGAAGAUCACACUCUACCUGAUAACAAAGAAACAUAGUCAAUAUACGAAGAUGAUUUUACUAACAAGUGAGUGCUUACACAUAUUGGAAGGAUAAUGAUUACUCAUAACCCAAAUCCCCAACACUCCCUAAUAUCUCACUCAAGUGAGUUCGAGCCCCCAGAAUUCACUACUGUGAAACUCUUACAACAAAAUUCCCUUCAAAGAUUCUCUACUCAAAUUUGAUGAUGAUGUCCCUCGAAAGGAGGCAAAAAAUCUAACACUGAUCAAAUUGGCUUGUGAACAAUUAAUCUUCCUGCGAUCAUGCAUACCAGGUGUGGUGAGCAAUCUUCAUUCUGACAUUUGCCUUAAUAAGCGGCUUAGUAUCCUUAACUUGAUAACUUACACAAACAAAAACAACUUGAUUAAAGUUUAAUAUUUAGAGGCAGAACAGUAAAGAAGAUGAUAUAUAUUGAUACUAAAAUUUGACCUGUGUUAUCCUGACGUCAAGAAUCACAGCAUCUCAUGUGGGCAGAAUCUUUGCAGUACAAGAUGCUUGCAAAAUUGAAGCAGCAUCUUAUCACCUGUAAUUUAAUUAAGACAAUAACUUUCCCCAACCAUUUCAAUGCAUUAUUGCCAACUAAAUUCAGAGGGUGCUAAUUAAAUAGCCUUUGAACAAUAUAUUCUAAUUCUUCUCCAAUCUAACAAUUAUUUGGAAAAUCUAAAUUACAAUCAUGCAUCGAUGGCAUCAAAAUUUGGCUACAAAGCAGCCUGGAAAAGGCUUUACUCUCUGAAUGAGAGCAUGAAUGAAGAAACAAAUAUCAUGAAUGAAGAAACAAAGGCAUAAUACCACAAAAAAUAAAACUUUUUCCCAGGCUCUCUGUUUCUGUUUGAACUAAAACCAAUGGAAACCGAUGGAAAUGAAUUUCUAGGAAUUAGACAUAUCAGCCAAAACAGUUACUCUGUACAAGCAAAGUAAAAUAGGGUUACAAAAAAUUUUAAGAUUGAUAUGAUAAUUAAAAUUUCAGUCACCAUAUAAUUAAUAGAAAACUUUGGACACAAUGAUUUAUUGCAUAUUAAAUCAAAUUUGUGGAAAUUAUCGGCUGUAGUUACCUGGACAAUAUUGCCAACACCAAACUCCUUCCUCAAUUGAAACCUACGAUCAGCCCACAAAUGCUUUGCUUUGUAGCUUUUUAGAGCCUGAAAUUGUUAUCACAACCAACAGUGAAAAUUGGGUGAAAAAAUUGAUAAUAUUAGCUUAAUUCCAUAUGUUUAUAUAGGAUAAACCGAUCAAAGAAUGAAAAAAGAUAGAAACAGAGCAGACCCAGCCAUCACUUUCUUCUUCAAAGUCGCACAAUAACCACAGUGGUAGUCGUUCCACUGCCAGCCUAAUCCUUGGUCACCCCAAUGUUCACCUUGAAGUAUUCAAAGUCAACCUAAAAAUAAAUAAAAAUGCAAUGCAGGUGGAAAUAAAAAUUCUAUAAAUAAAAUAAAAUAAAAAUGCAAUGCUUGAGCUUGAGCUUGCUUUAGCAUCAUCGUAAUAGUAAAUUUUGAUAUAUCUUUACUUCUCUGUUCUUGUUUAUUCACAACAAGAUAUCAAUAGAAGAAGAUGGAAAUGAAAUUCUAUAAAAUAAAGCAAGUGAAUUACCAG
rnacentral:lncRNA from 1 species